CCACUGCCUUCCUCCUGUACUCCUCUCCGUAAGCUAUCAACUCUGAUUGCUCUGGCGUCUUCAUCCAUGGUCCCCUCCUGCUGACGAAGUGACCAACGUCCAUCAGUAAAGUGGCCACGGUGAGAUGGCAAUUUCGUCGCCGGCGGGGAACACGAUGCCGAUAAUCUUCAGGCUGCAGGUGCCCCUGUGCGUGCUCCCUUCCAAAAGGACGGCUACCGGCGGCACCCCACUGAUUUUGCCAGUCAGAUGAAAAUUGAACUCAUUUUGCAAGUUGUGUUGCUUUACUCUGCCAAAUGGAAGUACGUUUUGGAUGCAGGUUAGUGUUUCUUCUUGCCAGCUACGUCAGUCAACUAUUCUUGUGUCAAGCCUUUCAGUUAUGAAUCGAGUUCACAGUGUAGUAUGUUGCUUUGCUGCAAAACGAAAGUGACUU